AUUGAACGCUGGCGGCAGGCCUAACACAUGCAAGUCGAACGAGUGGCGGACGGGUGAGUAAUGUCUGGGAAAAUGCCUGAUGGAGGGGGAUAACGACUGGAAACGGUAGCUAAUACCGCAUACAAUCAGAUGUGCCCAUAUGGGAUUAGCUAGUUGGUGGGGUAACGGCUAACCAAGGCCACGAUCCCUAGCUGGUCUGAGAGGAGGACCAGCCACACUGGAACUGAUACACGGUCCAGACUCCUACGGGAGGCCGCAGUGGGGAAUAUUGCACAAGGGGCGCAAGCCUGAUGCAGCCAUGCCGCGUGUAUGAAGAAGGCCUUAGGGUUGUAAAGUACUUUCAUCGGGGAGGCGUUACCCGCAGAAGAAGCACCGGCUAACUCCGUGCCAGCAGCCGCGGUAAUUC
rnacentral:rRNA from 1 species